rnacentral:rRNA from 1 species
UACGGGAGGCAGCAGUGAGGAAUAUUGGUCAAUGGACGAGAGUCUGAACCAGCCAAGUAGCGUGAAGGAUGAAGGUUCUAUGGAUUGUAAACUUCUUUUAUACGGGAAUAAACGGAUCCACGUGUGGAUUUUUGCAUGUACCGUAUGAAUAAGGAUCGGCUAACUCCGUGCCAGCAGCCGCGGUAAUACGGAGGAUCCGAGCGUUAUCCGGAUUUAUUGGGUUUAAAGGGAGCGUAGAUGGGUUGUUAAGUCAGUUGUGAAAGUUUGCGGCUCAACCGUAAAAUUGCAAUUGAUACUGGCAGUCUUGAGUACAGUUGAGGUAGGCGGAAUUCGUGGUGUAGCGGUGAAAUGCUUAGAUAUCACGAAGAACUCCGAUUGCGAAGGCAGCUCACUGGAGUGUAACUGACGCUGAUGCUCGAAAGUGUGGGUAUCAAACAGGAUUAGAUACCCUGGUAGUCCACACAGUAAACGAUGAAUACUCGCUGUUU